rnacentral:lncRNA from 1 species
AGGAUAUUUUGAGGCUUGAUAUCACAAUGGAUUAUCUGGGAGCUGCAUUCUUCAUGGAGGUAAAGUAGCCCUCUGGCUACACCGAAAGCAAUUUGCAUUCUUCGGUGCCAACUAGGCCUUGAAUAUCCAAAUAUGUAGUUUGACAAGGAGCCACUGCUCAUGUACUCGUAGACCAGAAGGCGAUUUUCCCCUUCGUUACAGAAUCCAACAAGUUGAACCAGAUUCUUGUGAUUUGUUCUGCCAAUAACUUUCACUUCUGUAUUGAAUUCUGUGUCGCCCUCCCCGGCCAUCUUUUCUAAUUUCUUUACUGCGAUGAGCGGUUUGUCUUCGUUGGCUAGUGCCCCUCUGUAAACAAUUCCAAAAGCACCCCUACCGAGUUCUUCCUUGAAUCCUCCUGUAGCUGUUUCCAGCUCAUUGUAAGUAAAAUUCUGCAGAUUCAUUUCUGGCAUGACAUGGAGUUGCGGUACCAUCUUUUGUUUUUGUUGGUUCCAUCGAGUAAAGAACACGUAGAUUCCUAGCAGAGAAAGAACAAUUAGAAAGAUGGAGCUACCUAAAAGCACCGAUCCUGUUGUGAUCAAAAUUGAUCGAUCACUCUUCUUUGCACUUGAACCUGCAGUCCGGUUGCCUUUCCUUACUUUCAUCAGGGCUUUAUCACCAAUACUUGGAUCUGUUACCCCAUUCGAGAGAGGGCCUCUCUUCUUCCAACAGUGUCCACUGUUAUAAGUGGCAACAGCACAAUAGCAGUCACUCAAGCAAGCUUGUCUGCACCAAUCCUCGUCCACUGAAAAAAAAUCUUCAUAAUCAGUAAAUGGAAAGUUUUUGUUAAGCAUAUCCCAGAUCAUAAAGUUAUCUAUUUCUUGCGAUGGAUGGUCACAAUCCUGUGAAAUAAAGUUUUUCUUGCAUCCCUUCCUCUCAUCAUUUGGAUCAAAGAAAGUGUAACCAGGAGGACACUUGCAUCUUGGUCUUUGGUCAUCUCCUAAUAUGCAAUAGCUGUUGAAACCGCAAGCUCCACUGCCUACUGGUCCCCUAAUUACCACGCAGAUAUUUGAGGGUAUGAAGUUUGGCAAAGUCGUCCAGGCCAUAGCCCACCUUGUGCUACUGGAAGCAGUCUUUGGAUAAGCAUAUUGCCUAAAAACUCCAUCAUAGUCCAGGGUUGCCCUCAAGUAGAAAUCUUGCAUUGAUACUGAAUUAGAGAAUACCGAAUUAAGCGUAUUGCCAUUUUGGUCUGCGAGGUACAUAUAGCCAGACUGGUUAAAGAUCACCCUAUAACCGCUUCCAGUAGAAAUUUGGGCAGACCAAUAAGCAACAUUUGAGGUAGUUGUUGGAUAACGUGUUGUGUACAGUACGAGAUUGCUGUCAGCUUGUAGAAUGAACUUGAAUCUUCCAUCUGAAUAAUUCUUUUCCAGGUAGGGAGCAAUUAGUUGAGCACCUAAAUUCAGAUUUUGUGUGGGCAACAGUGUGUCUGUUGGUUCAUCAAAACUCUGCCACAAAUUGGCACCAGCUUGGCUUGCUACCACGAAGUUUCCCGUGUCAAGCAUGGCUGCAUAGGCGGCUCCACUUCCACCAAAAACUGGACUCCAUAUUGUUCUGCCUGAUUGAUCAUUUAGAACCAACUCACCAUCUCUGGUAAGUUGUACUUUUGAUCCCCCCUGAACUAGAUCAUUUCUAUUAGCUGACCAGACUAUGGUUCUUUCGGGUAUUUUGUUGAACCAUAUGGCAAGUAGGUAGCCAGCAUCACCAACUUGUUGGAAUCCAAAAGCAAAUUCCCCAGAUGGUGAAGUCCAAGGAAGGUUAUCACUUGCAGCAGUGAGAAAUAAGCCCGAAGAUAUGUUGCUGUGAGCCUGACCAUUGCCAGAAAAUGGCAGCAGCAGAAGAAGAAGGAAGAAAAAACAAUAUGGUAGUUGAAAAUCCAUGAUGUGAAGAUACUGUAUAUUAAGACCUUGCAUGAUUUAGGGCACAGGUCCUCUUCUCUAUUUAUGCUGAGUAUUGUCGUUGGAGGAAAAUAUGGGUCUCCAACUAAUUGAUAAAGAGAUUGUAUUUAUGUGAUUGUAUUUUUCCCUUGUGAUAAAUUCGAAUCUUUUUUUCAUGCAUGAGAAUAAACUAAUGCUAAAAACCUUCCAGUUAUUAAACGGUCAAUGCAUUUAUCAAAUGAAUAUGGCAAAGACUUUCUUUAUGUGGUUAAUUGUGAUAAAGAGAUUUCAACUGAUUUCGAAUCAUUUUUUCAUGCAUGAGAAUAAACUAAUGCUAAAAACCUUCUGCGUAUCAAAUGAAGAUGGCAAAGACUUUCUUUCUGUCUUUAUGCUUUUUUCUUUUUGGUAAAUAAAUUUUAACUAAUAUCCAAUUUUUCCGGUUAUUAAACGGUCAAUGUAUUUAUCUGCCAACCCAAAACCAAACCCCGGUCGAUUUCAAUAUAUAAAAAUCUUGUUUAAUUUUUUUAAAAAUAAAAAAAUAAUAUAGAUAUAUUUUUAAAUAACAAAAUGAUACUUUUAUAAAUUAACUUGAGUUAACUCCCGGUCGUUAUACUAUAAAAAAAACUAAAAUAAAUUAUCAAUAUUUGACUGGAGGACAAAACAUAGCAGCUUCCUGCUUACUUCCUCAGAAAAUGCUUAUCGCAAUGACUCAAACAUUAGGUGACUCUUCCAAUAUAUAUUAACGCGAAGAAAGGACUGUGUGAUAAACCCAUGCAAAAAAGACAUGCAAAAAAGACUUGUUAUUAGCUGUACGUCUUAGAGCAAUAGCUAGAUAAUUAGGUCAUUGACAAUCAAUUCACUAUCAAACCUUCAAUUGUUUUUAAUUUGACCCUUGAUUUUAUCGAUUUAAGUCCUUGAAGUCUCAUGCCUUUUAUGGUUUGGUCUUUGAUUUUGAGUUUCUUCAAUCAAGUCCUUAAUUGCCUAUUAAACUUUAAUAUUUAUACAAUUAAACCUCUGAUUUGAUCAAAUCAUCUUUUUUAAAUUGCAAUUCAACCCCAAGACUUCAAUUUUUUCCAAUUAAAGCUCAAAUUGAAUUCAAAAACCAACAUUCCUAGCAAUUAAACCCUUAAUAAAUUCAAUUAAACCCUAAAAAAAAUACCAAUUGAGUUAUUAAACAUCUAAUUUUGAAUUUUUCUUUCCAAAUUGCAUUUUUCUUGUUAAUAAGACCUUCAUCAAUCAAAAUUGAACUGUUAAUUUUUUAAAUUUGGGUAUUUUGGUCCUUCUCAACUAGUUUUUGGAAAUUUUCUAGACAAUUUUCAUGUUUUUCUUACUGAUAUAUAUUUUAUUUUUCCAAUGUUUUUUAAUUUCUUAGUAUGGGGUCCCAAAAUGGGUACCAAUUAUAUUGAUUUGACAAGUUAACCCAAGUUGACCUAAGUCGAUCCGAUAUGUUUCUGUCUUAAUAUUUCUUUAAAAAAUCCUCUUGGGAUUUUUUUUAUCAAAAUUUUUUUUAACGAUCAUUCAUCUCAAGUUAAUCAAGUUAUAUCAGGUCAACCCACAUAUAAUUUAAAUUAUUUAUACUAGAAAAUAUGUUAGAAACAUCUGCAUAUUUUCCUUUAUAUAUAAAAAAAAUCUAGUAUGUAGCGUAGUGUGAAUAAUUUAGUUAACAUCUCGUUGAGUAAUUUGUAAAGUGAAUUAAAAGUGAUCAUUGUUGGAAUGCUGCCUCCUAUAUAUUGAUUUUGAAUUAGAGCAUUUAUAUCUGAAUUUGUAAAUUCAGAAAAAGGAAUCGUUUUUUUAAGGAUUCAAUUCUAAAUAGUAGCUUAAGAACAAACUCAUUUAUCAUUCAAACUAAACCUUUCAAAAAAAAAUUUAUUUAAAAUUAAAUUAAGUGGAAUAAUAAAUUAUAAAACCCUUUUGCUUAAUGCUAAUAUAUAAAUAUAAGAUUUUACUCGUUACUCUUUAAUAUGGAAAAAAAGAAAAGAAAAUAAAUAAGCGCAUGAAACUUUAACGUGCACGGUACAAUUAACACACGAAUCAAUCCAAUUUGAAAGUCACAUUGCCAUCGACUACGUGUCAUACAUAAACAAGACAACAAAUGCACGACUAGUCUUUUAUAUUGGUCUAAAAUUGUCUUUUACGCCAAAAUGAACCUUUUCUUCCUAUCAUUAUUAUAAUGGACUGGUCCACUUUUGUCUGCAAUUACUAAAUUUCUCAAGAUGUUAAACAAACCAUUAUUAUCUUUUUCAACAUCCUCUCUUAAACUUGAUUUUUGAUAACUCCUAGCAUAUUUUAGAUUUUUUAAAUUAAUUUAAAAUAAUAUUUUUUAAAUUUAUUUUAAUAAAAGUUAAAACAAUAUUUUAAAAAUAGAAAAAAAAUUAAGGUUGUGAAUUGAUCAGGAUUGAGUUAAUCUAAUAACUACAAACAAAGUUUUUUAUGAAAAUCAAGCUCAAUUAAUAUGAUCUUAAUCAGGACUACAUUAUGAUAAAUAACUUGGGAAACAAACAUGCUAUUUACACGGGCCAAGUCUAUAAGAGCUAGACCAUUUAAGAUUGAAGUACUGGUUAGUAAUUAUUUAUUAAGCACAUAUAUAUUUUGAACAAUAAUUCUUUGAUUCUACUCGUUACUCUUGAGCAUGGAAAAGGAAAAAAAAAAAAAGGAUUCAAGUAUUUGAAGCCUUGUUGUUGAAGAAAUCAUCAUUUGACUUGAAAUUUAGAGUAUCAACCCAGAAGAUGAUCUAGACAUGUCUGAAAUGACAGCAACUACAGAUUAUUCAAUACAUGGUAGAUAGGUUACAUUCAUUGGUCUUAGUAACUGGAUAUAUACAUGUGUACAAAAAGGAUUUAGAUUGUGCUGAUAAAUGAUGAAGGAUGAGGAGGAAUAGAGACUUGAACAGCUCCUUCUAGCAUCAGCACAACUUUCUUCAUUUCAGGUCUUAAAGAUGGAUCCUCUUGAAGGCACCAAAUUGCAACAAUCACAAACCUCUCUACCGUUUUCAUGUCUUCUGCUGCCUCUUCAUCAUCUUCAACUAAAAGGUCUAACUUUCCUUCUUUAAGGCAAUCCCAUGCCCAGUCUGCAAGAACUAUCUGACCUUCUUUCUUAUCAAUAUCAAAGUUCUUUCUGCAACAAACUAGCUCCAGCAAAAGAAUGCCAAGGCUGUAGGUAUCGACUUUGGUUGUGACAGGCAGGUUCUUGAACCAUUCAGGAGCUACAUACCCUUUGGUCCCCCUGAUUGCUGUAGUUGUUUUAGUUUGGUCUGUCUUCAGCAGCUUGGCUAUUCCGAAAUCAGAAAUCCUUGCAUUAAAAGAUUUGUCGAGGAGGAUAUUUUGAGGUUUGAUAUCACAAUGGAUUAUCUGGGAGCUGCAUUCUUCAUGGAGGUAAAGGAGCCCUCUGGCUAUAUCGAAAGCAAUUUGCAUUCUUCGGUACCAGUUAGGCCUUGAAUCUCCAAAGAGAAAAUUGGCCAAAGAGCCAUUGCUCAUGUAUUCGUAGACCAGAAGGCGAUGUUGCCCUUCGUUACAGAAUCCAA